GCAUUGUUUGUUUGUUUAUUUUAGGGCUCCUUGCUUGCUUUUGGUUCACUUUGCUGUGACUGAUGCGUUGCUAUCUGUCGGCUGCCCUGGUUGCUCUCUUUUGGUCUCGUCCGUUCUGUUUGGAGUUUGGAUGGACUGCCUGCAGGCUGCAGCCCUGCACUCACUGGAAGGGGAUACCGGAUACCCCUGAAACCAUUGCUUUAGCCAUAUAUCCAUUAGAGUAGAGUAGACGUAUGUAGCCUGAAAUAAUCGGAAACUACUAGUGCACGUUACGUAUCAUUUUUCAUUCCGUUAGCAGGAUUCGCAAUCUCCAAUGCAAACAAUCUGAUUGUGUGAUGUCUAUACGCAACACUGAAGUCUAGUUGCAUCUGUUCUUCCUGUUGUGUGCUAUGCGGUCUUAGCAGGCCGGCUGCUCAACGACCUGCUCAGCUCCCUCCGCUGGAUCGUGCACCAAGAGAAGAGGAUGGCGUGCCAACGCCGACCCUGUGCGCUGAAUGCGCCGAACACUACGAGAGGGAAGCAUCGGACGUGAGAGCCAAGGCAGCAGGCACCGAUCUCGCGCUGACCUUCUUCCCUGGCUGGCCGCACGCGGACGAGCCCCAGACGUCGCACAAGGAUGAUCUGAUGAAGCUCAAGUGGAAAUGGAGCCGACUCUGCCAGCAGCGGAACCAACCGGCCCGUCGUCCGUGCAAUGCAACCACCUCUAGCAACAGCAGCAGCAACCCAGGCCUGUGCUUGAGCUUUGAGGAGGCUCCCACCACCUUCCAAUGCAGGAGCAACAAGAUCGAGCACCAGGGCGUCAGGACCACCCUGAGCCUCCUCCCGGACGCCGACAAGUCAUCCGACGAGGUCCACCGCCACGGGAGCGAGCCCAGGCCGGCGGCGCCGCAGCAGGAACCAGACGUGGCGGGGGCAGCUGAAGCUGAACCCAGUGGCACGAAGAAGGUCGGGGUCCCAUGGUUGCCGUCCGGCGAUCUCAAGAGGAAGGCGGAGGAGAGUGUCGUCCGGAGGCCGAGCGAGUCCAACAAGCGCCGCUGGAAGGGCAGCGGCGGCGGCGGUGGCCUUGACCUGAACCUACGCGCUGACGACGACGAGGAGGAGAGUGGUGGCGGUGGCAGCAGUGACGACGACGAGCUCGUUCCGGCGAGCGACUUGACGAACGACGGUGAAGAAGCAGCAGCAGCCAGCGGUGAUGCGACUGACAGCUCCGGUAGCCGUCGCCAGGCUGCUGUGAGUGUGACCGACCUUCGACCUCGAUCGCUAAGUGGUUGCGGUAUUGAUGGUGCCAACGAGUGAUGGAGUCAUGGAGAUGCUUGGAUGGAGCAACAGGCGGUCGUUGCUGCUUGCCGACUUCAGAAUUGGCGGGAACGUGUGGAGAGGGGAAGCAGAGACGUUCCUGCGUAUAUGUAUGUAUAUAUGGGCUCUGGGGGGCUUCCUGCUCGAAUAGGCGACAUGCAUGUGGGCUCGGCUCGUUUGGCUCCCAAUUUUUGUCCAGCUAUAAUGCACGAUUAUUAUGGCUC